rnacentral:rRNA from 1 species
GGCAUUUUAUUUUAUUAGAGGAACCUGUUUUUUAAUCGACAACCCACGUUAAUUUUAACUUUAAUUAAAAAUUUAUAUACCGCCAUCUAAAAAACUAAUUUUAUAAUAAUAUUUUAAAUAAAAAAUAAAAAGUUAGGUCAAGGUGUAAUCAAUAUUAAAGCAAAUAAUGGGUUACAUUAAAAACAAUUUAAGGAUUAUUAUAUCUAAAUAUUUUAUUAAAAAGGAUUUAAAAGUAAUAAAAUAAUAAUAUUCUAUUAUGAUUAAGAUAAUAAAUGUGCACACAUCGCCCGUC